rnacentral:rRNA from 1 species
CAGCCGCCGCGGGAAUACGAAGGGGGCUAGCGUUGUUCGGAAUUACUGGGCGUAAAGCGCACGUAGGCGGUGAGUUAAGUCUGCUGUGAAAUCCCCGGGCUCAACCUGGGAAUGGCAGUGGAUACUGGCUCGCUAGAGUGUGUCAGAGGAUGGUGGAAUUCCCGGUGUAGCGGUGAAAUGCGUAGAGAUCGGGAGGAACAUCAGUGGCGAAGGCGGCCAUCUGGGACAACACUGACGCUGAGGCACGAAAGCGUGGGGAGCAAACAGGAUUAGAUACCCCCGUAGUCCCUGUCUCUUAUAC